rnacentral:rRNA from 1 species
CGAAAGAAGGGAUGAUUCCCUCAUUUUAGAACUACACUUCCAAAGACUAACAAAUUAAUUUUAAGUGAUCCGAUACCCGUAUUCGAUCAACGAACCAAGUUACCCUGGGGAUAACAGCGCAAUCUACCUCAAGAGCCCCUAUCGACAGGUGGGUUUACGACCUCGAUGUUGGAUCAGGGUAUCCCAGUGGUGCAGCAGCUACCAAAGGUUCGUUUGUUCAACGAUUAAAACCCU